rnacentral:rRNA from 1 species
CUUGACCAGGGCUACACACGUACUACAAUGGCCGGUACAAAGGGCAGCGACACAGCGAUGUGAAGCCAAUCCCGAAAAGCCGGUCUCAGUCCGGAUUGGAGUCUGCAACUCGACUCCAUGAAGUUGGAAUCGCUAGUAAUCGCGGAUCAGCACGCCGCGGUCGAAUACGUUCCCGGGCCUU